rfam:Aspergillus aculeatus ATCC 16872 unplaced genomic scaffold ASPACscaffold_3, whole genome shotgun sequence.
GGGACGAUGGCGCAUCUGGGAGCGCGUCAGACUGAAGCACUAACUUCGGCCGCCAGGUUUCAUCCUUCGGGAUGUCCCUAGUAAUCUGAAGGUGGCCGGUUCAAGCCCGGCUCGUCCCA